rnacentral:rRNA from 1 species
AACGAACGCUGGCGGCAUGCCUAACACAUGCAAGUCGAACGAGACCUUCGGGUCUAGUGGCGCACGGGUGCGUAACGCGUGGGAACCUGCCCUUAGGUUCGGAAUAACUCCCCGAAAGGGGUGCUAAUACCGGAUAAUUUCUUCGGACCAAAGAUUUAUCGCCUUUGGAUGGGCCUGCGUUGGAUUAGCUAGUUGGUAGGGUAAAAGCCUACCAAGGCGACGAUCCAUAGCUGGUCUGAGAGGAUGAUCAGCCACACUGGGACUGAGACACGGCCCAGACUCCUACGGGAGGCAGCAGUGGGGAAUAUUGGACAAUGGGCGAAAGCAUGAUCCAGCAAUGCCGUGUGAGUGAUGAAGGCCUUAGGGUUGUAAAGCUCUUUUACCCGGGAUGAUAAUGACAGUACCGGGAGAAUAAGCGCCGGCUAACUCCGUG